UUGGAGGGCAAGUCUGGUGCCAGCAGCCGCGGUAAUUCCAGCUCCAAUAGCGUAUAUUAAAGUUGUUGCAGUUAAAAAGCUCGUAGUUGAAUUUCGGGGUUCUACCGUCGGUCGGGCUAACAAGUCUGUACUGGUGUGUAGAAUUUCUACCUUCUGGGGAACUAUCAUGUUAUUAAUUUAGCGUGGUGGGAAACCAGGACCUUUACCUUGAAAAAAUUAGAGUGUUCAAAGCAGGCUUACGUCUGAAUACAUUAGCAUGGAAUAAUAGAAUAGGACGGUGGUCCUGUUUUGUUGGUUUCUGAAUCACCGUAAUGAUUAAUAGGGAUAGUUGGGGGCAUUAGUAUUCAAUUGUCAGAGGUGAAAUUCUUGGAUUUAUUGAAGACUAACUUCUGCGAAAGCAUUUGCCAAGGAUGUUUUCAUUAAUCAAGAACGAAAGUUAGGGGAUCGAAGACGAUCAGAUACCGUCGUAGUCUUAACCAUAAACUAUGUCGACUAGGGAUCGGACGAUGUUAACCUUUAUUGACUCGUUCGGCACCUUACGGGAAAC
rnacentral:rRNA from 1 species